rnacentral:lncRNA from 1 species
GGAGGAUGAGGAAUCUUACCCUGAAGAUGAGGAAGAUGGAAGAUGAUCAGAUAUCAAGGGUUCUGGCUAAACUGACUUAGCAAGCUUCUUGCUAAAACUAGAUUUCACAAGGAAGUGCACAGCUAGAUCAAGAAGUGGCAUGAGGAACCUGGGUCAUGCAAGAAUUUUUGUCCCUUCCAGAGACAGAGGGCACUGAAAUAGAUACACUUCUCCCUGAGACAGAGAAAGGUUGGGAUUUUGCUUGCGCUGUUGCCCAGCCUGGUUUGCAGUGGCGCAAUCAUGGCUCAUUGCAGCCUUGAUCUCCUGGGCUGAAAUGAUUCUUCCGCCUCAACCUCCCAAGUCUUUGGGAUUAUAGAUGUGACUACUGCACCUGACUAAAAAUUGGUCUCUUUAUUACAUUUUUCCUUUUUUUUUAAAAAAAAGAAUGAUGGUCUCUUUUUAAUUGGUAUAAUGAAUACAAUCCACUGGCCAAAGAAGAAAGAAAUAAAAGCAUGUGGAU